GACGAACGCUGGCGGCGUGCUUAACACAUGCAAGUCGAACGGUGAACGAGGGAGCUUGCUCCCUCCGGAUCAGUGGCGAACGGGUGAGUAACACGUGAGCAAUCUGCCCCGAACUCUGGGAUAAGCGUUGGAAACGACGUCUAAUACCGGAUACGACGCGGGAGGGCAUCCUCUCCGCGUGGAAAGAACUUCGGUUCGGGAUGAGCUCGCGGCCUAUCUGCUUGUUGGUGAGGUAACGGCUCACCAAGGCGACGACGGGUAGCCGGCCUGAGAGGGUGACCGGCAAAACUGGGACUGAGAAACGGCCCAGAGUCCUACGGGAGGCAGAAGUGGGGAAAAUGGCAAAAUGGGCGCAAGCAUGAUGCAGAAACGCCGCGUGAGGGACGAAGGCCUUCGGGUUGUAAAACUCUUUUAGAAGGGAAGAAGCGAAAGUGACGGUAACUGCAGAAAAAGCACCGGCUAACUACGUG
rnacentral:rRNA from 1 species